AUACACAUUGAACAGAUAAUGGGAUUUAGAACUGAAGUAACUGAGAUUUGAUAUCUGAUUCUGCUACUUAAGUUAAAUAGCCUGGAGCCUCUUUUUUAUUAUAUAUAAAGAUUCUAGCCCUGGCCUCUGGUAUUAUUUCACUGUGAGCUCCAUGUACCUUGGAGAAAUAUGAUCAGCACCUCCUCCAAAGUGUGGCUACUAUCAGAACGCCCCAUCAGAGUUCUAAUGGGAAGAAGAAAAAUGGCUAGGAAGAGGUCUUGUUCCCUCGCCCAGAUAAGAUGUGUGAAGACAGACGUAUAACAGACCGACUGACACUCAGUGAGCUGACCACUGAUGGACAGCUGUAUCACCUCUCUUUGUUUAUGAUAAAGUCCCAGCUAAGUGCCAGAACCUUUUCUUUAAUAGCGUCUGUUUAUUCUCUGUCCUUGAACCAUUGUCCAUAGAUCGUUUAGAAGCUGUAUCUGUCCAGCUUCUCAAUUCCCUUUCUAAACCCCAUCAAAUUAAUAACUCCUUAUUAAUGGUAUACAAUGUGCUUUGUACUCUUCCUUAUUCCUUUAACUUAAUGUUUCUAAAACUUCAGUCUUUCAUUUAUGAUCAUCACAAUUUUCACAAUGUCAUCGUACCAACUGGGCUGUUAUUUUUAAAAUAAUUUUAAGUUGACUCAUAUUCCUUUCUUCAUAGUGCCUACUUUAACCUAGUCCUAAACUUUAUUAUCCAUGGAAUUGUUGAUUUUUUUUUUAAUAGUGUGUCUGUGUAUCAUCAACUAAAAUAAUCAUGUAAACCCCCAGUGGCAUGCUAACCACACUUGAACAACCACAGCAUUCUUGGAGUCAGCUUAGUUAUCACCUAGUAAGAAUGAUAAAUGUACCAACAUAGAAGCUUGCCCUACAGAACAUAAGCUGCUUUAUCUCCUAUCUCAAAAGGUAGUCUUAUUUUUUUGUAAUCUCUGGUAAAUAGACACAUUCCAAGAUGUGCACAACGAAGAAUAUUUGAGGAACUCUUCUGAAUUUUAGUUUAACUUACUGAUUUGUUUCACAGAUUAAAAAA